GGGUGCAGAAGACAUACAGCCUCCUUAGGCUUCAGUAGGCUCCCUGAUUAUUCAGCAUGUCACAAAAAAUACAGAAAACACUGGUCUCUCCUUUUCUCUGAACUACUAUGUCAUAGGAAUGUGCUGAUGACACUGUGUCUGCUCAGAAUCCAGAGCUGGAGUACCAGAAGCCCUUCUGCACUGGAAAAGUCAUGUGGAAGAAAAUUGCACCAGCGUCUGCACAGACUAUUCCUGUCUCCUGUGAUUUCUGUACCAUUUGGAGUGGCUUGCUUAGGCCACUGAAUCUCAAUAUCUCGGCAGCAGCUAGGGUUGUGCAUGUGCAAUGCUCAUGGUGUGAGCAAAGUUGUAGGAAUGAUUUGUGUGUUUAUGUAUACCCAGUUCCUCCUUGGUUUGUCUGUCUCUCUUUACAAAUAUUAUGAAGCCAAAGGCUUCAAGGCAAUCUGCAGCCCUGGACAAAUCUGUUUACCAAUGGGUAACAUCCAGUGCAGGAGUGGGCUAUAGCACUGACAAGGUAAAAGAGUAAAAAAGACUGAAUCUAGACACUGCAAAGAGCCCAAUACUUAGAUUUCCAGCUGCCUGCAUGCACUCACUGUAUCCCUGCAAGGGAGAGAGAUUUCACUGGGGAGAAAGAUUUUGGGAGUUAGAUAUGCAUCUGAACUACCCUGGU